UUUUGAAAUAAUUUUUAAUGCUUUAAAAUUUAGUAAGUGCACACAAUACAUGUUUUAGCAGAAGAAUGAAAAUGUGUGUAUGGCAUUUAAUACAAAUUUACAUUACAAAAUGAGACCAUGUUAGGAAAACAUUAGAAGUAAACAUUUAAGUAAAAACCAAAUAAACAACAUGCUAAGGGAUACAAUUUAAAAAAUCCUAGUAAAUGUAGUUGCCUAAAUCCAGACUUGAAACAUUGAGAUUGACUUUGCCACUAAAAAAAAAAAAAAAAAAAAAAAAAAAAAAAAGGCAGAAUGCCCUUCAUUUUAAAUGCAUUAAAAAAAAAAAAAGUUUGUACAUUGUUUUCCUGCUGGCCACUGUAGUAUAAAAGAGCAUCAGCUGGAUUCAAAUCUGGUAAUAAAAAAGUACACCACCUGUUAAUUAAGUUAUAUGGGUAAGAAAUCCAAAGUUUAACUGUUUCUUUUUCAGAUAUGAACUUCAUGGAGAAUGGGAUCUCAUUUUAUCAUUGACUCCCUUUCUUCUUCUUACAAGUAAACCAAAUGAGCCCUGCCUCACAUAAAAAUAUUAAACUCUUAUAUAAACCUUAUCAAUGGCCUGAGAACUGCAAGGACAUUCACUAAGAGAUUUGUGCAAAAAUUGUUUUUCUUGGAGAGCAGACUAAAUUGUAAGAAGAAACAAACUUCUAGAAUAAUUUGAGAAGGGAGUUGCUUCUAUUUUCACUAAACAAACAAGGGAGGUUUUAUCUGAAGUUUGUAUAUAGCAUGAAAAUGUACUUAAUACAUUAAAAUUCUAAAUAAAUACUGACCAUUGGUAUUAUAAAGUGUGAUUUGGUACAUUUGUGGAAUUUGAGGACUUACUUUGAAAGUUUCUAUUAACACAUUAAUAAAAUGUAAUUGUACAUUUCAAAUACAAUUGUGUUUACUUCACAUCAUUUAUUCAGAACAUCAGUUCCCUCAGUUAUUGUCACAACCUUCAACCCUUUAAGGAGUUGUACCAAAAU
rnacentral:lncRNA from 10 species